rnacentral:rRNA from 1 species
UACGUAGGAGGCGAGCGUUGUCCGGAGUUACUGGGCGUAAAGGGUGCGCAGGCGGCGUCACGCGUGGCUAGAUGAAAUCUCCUGGCUUACCUGGGAGGGUGGUAGCCAGACGGUGGCGCUUGAGGGUCGGAGAGGGGCGUGGAAUUCCGGGUGGAGCGGUGAAAUGCGCAGAUAUCAGGAGGAACACCAAUGGCGAAGGCAGCUCGCUGGGACGGUACUGACGCUGAGGCGCGAAAGCGUGGGGAGCAAACAGG